rnacentral:SRP_RNA from 1 species
UACCAGCCGGGGAAUUAGCGGUGCCUUGUACCUGCAAUCCGCUGCAGCAGGGGUGGAUUCCUUUGAUGAGGGCUGAUUCUGUGUGGUCUGCACGACGUUUUUCACGUGUUGACGGAUGGGUCUUGCGCAAUCGGACGCCGUGAACCAUGUCAGGUGGGGAACCAAGCAGCAUUAAGCGGUCACUCCGAUGUGCCGCGAGGUCGCCUGUCCCGAGCGUGGGGCGUCGUUCACGCACAUGGGCGCGGUUCGAGUCAGAGGUG